rnacentral:rRNA from 1 species
UGGGGAAUAUUGGACAAUGGGCGCAAGCCUGAUCCAGCCAUGCCGCGUGGGUGAUGAAGGCCCUAGGGUUGUAAAGCCCUUUCGGCGGGGAAGAUAAUGACGGUACCCGCAGAAGAAGCCCCGGCUAACUUCGUGCCAGCAGCCGCGGUAAUACGAAGGGGGCUAGCGUUGCUCGGAAUCACUGGGCGUAAAGCGCACGUAGGCGGACUCUUAAGUCGGGGGUGAAAUCCUGGAGCUCAACUCCAGAACUGCCUUCGAUACUGGGAGUCUUCGAGUUCGGGAGAGGUGAGUGGAACUGCGAGUGUAGAGGUGAAAUUCGUAGAUAUUCGCAAGAACACCAGUGGCGAAGGCGGCUCACUGGCCCGAUACUGACGCUGAGGUGCGAAAGCGGUGGGGAGCAAACAGGAUUAGAUACCCUGGUAGUCCACGACCGUAAACGAUGGAUGGCUAGCCGUUGGC